rnacentral:snRNA from 1 species
GCAGCUCAUUUUAGCAUGCAUAUACUAAACUUGGAAGAAUAUAGAGAUUAGCACAACCCUGUGCAAGGAUGAUAACCAAAUUGAUGAGUUAUUCCGUGUCAUG